UACGUAGGGUGCGAGUGUUGUCCGGAGUUAUUGGGCGUAAAGCGCGCGCAGGCGGUCCUUUAAGUCUGAUGUGAAAGCCCACGGCUCAACCGGGGAGGGUCAUUGGAAACUGGGAGACUUGAGUACAGAAGAGGAGAGCGGAAUUCCACGUGUAGCGGUGAAAUGCGUAGAUAUGUGGAGGAACACCAGUGGCGAAGGCGACUUUCUGGUCUGUAACUGACGCUGAGGCGCGAAAGCGUGGGGAGCAAACAGG
rnacentral:misc_RNA from 1 species